rnacentral:rRNA from 1 species
UACGAAGGGGGCUAGCGUUGUUCGGAAUUACUGGGCGUAAAGGGCGCGUAGGCGGCGUGUCAAGUCAGGCGUGAAAGCCCCGGGCUCAACCUGGGAACCGCACUUGAGACUGGCAUGCUCGAGUUCGGGAGAGGAUGGUGGAAUUCCCAGUGUAGAGGUGAAAUUCGUAGAUAUUGGGAAGAACACCGAUGGCGAAGGCAGCCAUCUGGACCGACACUGACGCUGAGGCGCGAAAGCGUGGGGAGCAAACAGG